rnacentral:rRNA from 1 species
CGCCUGUAAGCGGGGAAGUAACCCGUUAGAAAGAACGGACUAAUACCGCAUAAUACUAAAUUAACUGCAUGGUAAUUUAUUUAAACAUUAUGGCUUACAGAUGGGCAUGCGCAUGAUUAGCUAGUUGGAGAGGUAACGGCUCCCCAAGGCAACGAUCAUUAGGGUUCUGAGAGGAAGGUCCCCACACUGGUACUGAGACACGGACCAGACUCCUACGGGAGGCAGCAGUGAGGAAUAUUGGUCAAUGGACGAGAGUCUGAACCAGCCAAGUCGCGUGCAGGAAGAAUGUCCUUAAUGGAUUGUAAACUGCUUUUGCAGGGGAAUAAAGUGCAUCACGUGUGAUGUUUUGUAUGUACUCUGCGAAUAAGGAUCGGCUAACUCCGUGCCAGCAGCCGC